CACCUACCUAGCGUGUGGGCGUGAGGCGUCGCCAUCAUGGUUCACCUGUCUGCUGCGUGUCUGCUUUCAGAGGGAGGUCCCAAGACGGUCCUUCCCCGUCAUAAUAAAGUCGCCUUGGGACGCCUCAUUGGAAGAUAUUUUGACGAUACCUCCAUGCGACUUGUCCAGGGUGUAUGCAGCUGGGAUAGGCUACAGCCACCCCCUGCGACACCGAGAGGGACAAAAUGGAUGGAUGGAUGUCAUUUAUCAACAUAUUGUACAAUUUAGUCGUCAUCAUGCACAACGUGUCAGACCGGUUGCAUGGCCUCCCAUCAGGGCCGUAGUGGAGUAUUCACUGUCAACGACUCAUCGCGUUCUCAUCAUAACUGGAUGACUUUCACCAUUAGACGCCAAUGAUGAGUCAUGAAGACGCCGGGUGUCAAACAUGAUACCGACGGCUUCCUCGUGAGUGACGCCCUCCAGUGGCUGCCCAUUCACGGCCAUGAUCUGGUCCCCACGCUUCAGGCGGCCGUCGUCUGCCGCCGCCCCCUUUGCAAACACACAAAAAGACGUCGAUUAGUUACCCAAGGUCCGCUGUAUAAAACAAACGUCUGGCGCGUACCUUUCCGAAAACAGUUUUCACGUAAAUUGGCAGAUCCCCAUGGGGGCUGCCAUAGCCUCCGACGAUACUGAAGCCCAACCCAUCAGGUCCUCUCUCCAGAGUGAUAGUCUUAUAUUGCGGUGGGCUGAUGGCGACACAGUGAGACUUUUAAACACUCUCCUAGACCCCCACCCCUGCUUGAGUACUGGUGUAUUACUUUGUCAAUGAUCUACAUUAUUUGCACACAUUAUGCAGCAGGUUCAAACCUGAGCUCAUCCUGAAAGAUGCAGCUAGCUGUGAGGCCCCCAGUCGCUUGAUCAUGAGCUGGACCGGUCACGGUGUUAUCGCCACCUGCCACCACCUUUAAAAAAAAAAAAUUAAAAAAAAAUCAAAACACAGAUUGCACUUCGUACGUAUAUAUUAGGAUGUGAAUGUAGUGUUGUCUUGCCUGCAGCUUUAUCGUCCCUGUGGCGUUCUUGAGGAGCAUGACGGCUUGAGAAUGGCUCAUGCCCUCAGUCGAGGUUUCGCCAAUACUGACGAUCCGGUCCCCGACCUAUAGGAGAAUAUUGUACACUUUAGUACUAUGCAGCAGGAUGAAGCACAUGCUUUUAUCUUUAUUGUUUUAUUCUAAUUAAUUUAUUACAUUUUAUUUUUGUUUAUUUAUACAGUUUUACAUUUUAAAAAUCAGAAGCAUGGGUUGUACGUAUAUAUUUUUUUAUGUAGUCCAGGCAUUUGUAGUUAUUUUGUUUUACUAUUGUUUAUAGUUAAAACAAUUACCAUUAAUUUUAUGUUAUUUAAAAAAAUAUACAUUUUAUAUUUCAAAAGAUUAAUUUUGCAUCU